rnacentral:rRNA from 1 species
UGGCGGACGGGUGAGUAACGCGUGGGUAACCUGCCUCAUACAGGGGGAUAACGAUUGGAAACGAUUGCUAAUACCGCAUAAGCGCACAGUACCACAUGGUACAGUGUGAAAAACUCCGGUGGUGUGAGAUGGAUCCGCGUCUGAUUAGGUAGUUGGUGGGGUAACGGCCCACCAAGCCGACGAUCAGUAGCCGACCUGAGAGGGUGACCGGCCACAUUGGGACUGAGACACGGCCCAA